rnacentral:rRNA from 1 species
GACGAACGCUGGCGGCGUGCUUAACACAUGCAAGUCGAACGGAAAGGCCCUGCUUUUGUGGGGUGCUCGAGUGGCGAACGGGUGAGUAACCCGUGAGUAACCUGCCAUUGACUUUGGGAUAACUUCAGGAAACUGGUGCUAAUACCGGAUAGGAGCUCCUGCUGCAUGGUGGGGGUUGGAAAGUUUCGGCUGUUGGGGAUGGUCUCGCGGCUCAUCAGCUUGUUGGUGGGGUAGUGGCUUACCAAGGCUUUGACAGGUAGCCGGCCUGAGAGGGUGACCGGCCACGUUGGGACUGGACUGCGGCCCAGACUCCUCCGGGAGGCAGCAGUGGGGUAUAGUGCACAAUGGGAUGAAGCCUGAUGCAGCAACGCCGCGUGCGGUAUGACGGCCUUCGGGUUGUAUACCGCUUUCGCCUGUGACGAAGCGUGAGUGACGGUAAUGGGUAAAGAAGCACCGGCUAACUACGUG